UCCUCUUGCUCUCCCUCCUUCUCCUCCGCUAGUUGCCAGUAGUACCUUGUUGCAGUAGAUCAGCCCUAACUAGGCAGCACUCGGCCCCAGGCAGGCAGAAAGGGCAGAUCACGCCACAGAGCUGCUGGAGGAGGAAGAGACGCACAAAACAGGAAAAGGAUCAGCCACCAAAAAGGAGAAGACAACUAAACUAUCGGCUCUCAAAAGAGCAAAGGAGGACCUGACGAAAGACAACUAAACUAUCGGCUGCCUUUGGUUUUGAUUUGUGUUUGAACAUCCACCCAAGGAGGGCAUCGCGUGAGCAUGGCCAGCUGUGGCUGCUGUUUCUGGGGCAUUGUGUGGCUGAUUGUGCUGCUGGUGAUUGGCUGGCCGCUGAGCAUCUUCCUGGGGGGCCUGUACGGCUUCAUCGCCCCACUGACGGCCUGCGUGGGGCUGGACCGGCUGGCCGAACUGCUGAUGGAGGGGGCCAACCUGGGCCGCACCUGCGCCCAAAACAUGCGGCAUGGGAAACCGCUGUGCUGAGGCCCACCUGUAGGCUAGUGCACACCUGUGAUGAAGCUAACCUGACCCCACACACACAUAGAUACCCAUGCAGAUAUACACUUCAAGAAUAGAUCAUCAAACUAAUCAUUCUAAUGUUACAUUUAUUUAGAUUAGAUUACAUGUUUAACUUAACUUUAGGUCCUGGUCCUCAAAACACAAUGCUUUGUAACAUACAAACGAGCAGUCAGUAUCACCCAUUGUGACAUGUCAGCAUUUUAUGUGUACAAAUAUUUUAGUGAAACAGUAUAGUAAAAGGUCAAUGCAUCUUACUUGAUGUUAACACCAUUCAGUUCCACCAAAGUGCCUGUGCUGUUCCAGAGUUCCUCUUGUGGUGCACUAUACGUGCUUUAGUGGAUAAUACCGUGUGCUUUGUAUGCUAAAUGUGACAAGUGUGUACAAUGGUGCUGUAUGUUUCUGUUUCUUUUCAAAACGAAAGUCUUGUAUGUGUGAUAUGGACCUCAUUACCUGAAGUGCCUGUAUUUGUGAUAUUGAAUGCUGUUUUGGAGUUGAUGCAGACUUCGCUAGUUCUCCCUGGGACCAAUUUGUAUUUUGAUGAAACUGAUAUAUUGAAGUAUUGAGUCAAUGAAGUAAAACCAAUUCUGCCUUAAUAUUAAAA